GACGUAGGGCGCGAGCGUUGUCCGGAUUUAUUGGGCGUAAAGAGCUCGUAGGCGGCUUGUCGCGUCGAAUGUGAAAUCUCAGGGCUCAACUCUGACAUUGCAUUCGAUACGGGCAGGCUAGAGUUCGGUAGGGGAGACUGGAAUUCCUGGUGUAGCGGUGGAAUGCGCAGAUAUCAGGAGGAACACCUAUAGCGAAGGCAGCUUGCUGGGACGUUACUGACGCUAAGGCGCGAAAGCGUGGGGAGCGAACAGG
rnacentral:rRNA from 1 species